rnacentral:rRNA from 1 species
CCUACGGGAGGCAGCAGUGGGGAAUAUUGGGCAAUGGGCGCAAGCCUGACCCAGCAACGCCGCGUGAACGAAGAAGGCUUUCGGGUUGUAAACUUCUUUUCUCAGGGACGAAGCAAGUAACGGUACCUGAGGAGUAAGCCACCGCUAACUACGUGCCAGCAGCCGCGGUAAUACGUAGGUGGCAAGCGUUAGCCGGAUUUGCUGGGUGUAAAGGGCGUGUAGGCGGGAAAGUAAGUCAGAUGUGAAAACCAUGGGCUCAACCUGUGGCCUGCAUUUGAAACUGUUUUUCUUGAGUACUGGAGAGGCAGACGGAAUGCCUAGUGUAGCGGUGAAAUGCGUAGAUAUUAGGAGGAACACCAGUGGCGAAGGCGGUCUGCUGGACGGCAACUGACGCUGAGGCGCGAAAGCGUGGGGAGCAAACAGGAUUAGAUACCCUGGUAGUC